rnacentral:rRNA from 1 species
AUGGGAACGCGAAGAACCUUACCUAGACUUGACAUCUCCUGAAUAGUGUAGAGAUACAUGAAGCCCUUCGGGGCAGGAAGACAGGUGGUGCAUGGUUGUCGUCAGCUCGUGUCGUGAGAUGUUGGGUUAAGUCCCGCAACGAGCGCAACCCUUAUUACUAGUUGCUACCAUUAAGUUGAGCACUCUAGUGAGACUGCCCGGGUUAACCGGGAGGAAGGCGGGGAUGACGUCAAAUCAUCAUGCCCCUUAUGUCUAGGGCAACACACGUGCUACAAUGGUGAGUACAGAUAGAUGCGAUACCGCAAGGUGGAGCCAAACUCUAAAACUCACCCCAGUUCGGAUUGUAGGCUGCAACUCGCCUACAUGAAGUUGGAGUUGCUAGUAAUCGCGAAUCAGAAUGUCGCGGUGAAUACGUUCCCGGGUCUUGUACACACCG